GCCAGGCGAGGUGGCACAUGCCUGUAAUCCCAGCGGCUCAGGAGGCUGAGGCAGGAGAAUCGAGAGUUCAAAGCCAGCCUCAGUAAUGGCAAGGUAAUAAGCAAGUCAGUGAGACCCUGUCUCUA
rnacentral:sRNA from 1 species